rnacentral:misc_RNA from 1 species
UAACUGCGAUAAUUAGUGUGAACUGCAGAAACCUUGAACACAAAACUUUCGAAUGCACAUUGCGCCAUUGGAAUCAUAUCCUUUGGCACGCCUGGUUCAGGGUCGUAUUAAUAAAACGCAAGCCGUUUGCGUGUAUGCAUUUACGUGCUCAUUUGCUAUCGUCCUGUCUGUAACGUGUGCAGAUGUUCGCGUAUUACUUGUAAAGGCACAUGCUGAGUUAUUGUGCGGCGGGUGUGUGUAUCUGUUACGCUGUGUCUUUUCAGCUGAUACCCAUCUUAAAGGCUGUCUGCCUGUGCUGUGCUUUGCUCAUGUGUUGCCAUUUGAUUCAAAUUUUCGACCUGAACUCAGACGUGAAUACCCGCUGAACUUAA